AGGUGAGGGAAAUUAGCGCUGUUGCUAAUUGGUCGAUCUCCAUAUCGGCGUUUUGAAAGAGAUGCUGGUCGCCCUUGAGGGGAGGUUGUUGACGGGGGCAUCGUUCGUGGAAGAUAGGUUUCUCUUAUCUUCCCGUAGUUGCAACAAAGUCUAUUUGAAGGACUUCGCUUGACUAAAUCUUAAGAUCUUAUAGCGGGUCCUCACGUUAGCUAAACAUACACUACAAAGGCAUGCCGACACCCGGCGAUCAUCUUACCCGGAGAACAAAAUCUGCGUGUGGCGGGCCGCGGGAUAGAAACUAUUGAAGUAUUUACUGCCACGUGUCGCUACGGCUAUUUCUUUUAAGGAGAG
rnacentral:misc_RNA from 1 species